rnacentral:lncRNA from 1 species
UGAUAUCAAAAACCAUGAGAGAUGAAGCAAAACCGGUCAGCCUUUGCAUCACGACGUCGAAUCAUCUUUCGAUGAAACGACGGUAUGAUGCGAGGAAGCCCCGUCCGCGUCAAUGAUACAGCGGGUGAUAACUCUUUGACUCCAGGGAUGGCCCCAUCUCGGCUGUGGAUCUAAUCAGCUCCAUCUGACCGCCAGCCUCCACAGUGAAGCUUCCGGCUACAGCUUCCACUGCAGGACAGGAGU